AGCGUUUUACUUGUAUGUAUGAGAGCUUUUCAGUAGUGUAUAUAAGAGCGUUUCACUUGUAUGUAUAAGAGCUUUUCAAUAGUGUAUAUAAGGGCGUUUCACUUGUAUGUGACUGUUUCAGUAGUGUAUAUAAAAGCUUUCACUUGUAUGUGUGAGAGCGUUUCAGUAGUGUGUGCGAGCGAAUAAUCUUCCAGUUGUUUAUGUGAGAGUGUUUCAGUAGUGUAUGUGUCACGGGUUGGAUAUUAAUUGUGCAUGUAUUUUGAUUAUGUUUGUGACUUGAUUUACUGUGAUUUUGGUUUGGAUAUUGUGUUUGGUUUAGUGUUGUGAUUGGUGUUUUGUUUGUAGUGCUUUUGUGUUAUUUUUCUAUUCGUUAAUUUGCUAACAACCCGUGAACUUCGACCUGUACAACGAGGCUAUUGAUUGGACUGUAGAAUAAGAACAGGAAAUAAAGACCGGACACCGAGAGGAAGGUGGACAGAGAAGAAGGCUACCGGAGGCAGCUCGAAGAGGUGGAAAAUCAAUACGUGAGACACAAGAGCUACGAGCCAGAGGAUCCCGUAUACCCAUAAGGCUAGACGUGCGCAUCCCGGGGAAUGGGCUACUACUGCCUGUGACCCGGGGAGAGUCCCUUUCCUGCCAGUAUACAGUUAGACGAAGGCCGAACUCCGGUGGAAAGAAGCUGAUUGCUCGGCUGGUCGCCGGUGUACGCUGCAUCUCAGGGACUGGGACAUUUGCAUGGAUAUGGUUUUUCAUAUAUUUUAUUGCUCGAUGUUUUAAGUAUUGUAAUGUAAUUUAUUGUUAAUGUAAAGACAUAUUGAAGUUGUGGUGCAAUAAAAUAUUGAUUAAAGUAUA